GUCGAGCGGAUGAGGUAGCUUGCUACUGGAUUCAGCGGCGGACGGGUGAGUAAUGCUUAGGAAUCUGCCUAUUAGUGGGGGACAACGUUCCGAAAGGAGCGCUAAUACCGCAUACGUCCUACGGGAGAAAGCAGGGGACCUUUGGGCCUUGCGCUAAUAGAUGAGCCUAAGUCGGAUUAGCUAGUUGGUAGGGUAAAGGCCUACCAAGGCGACGAUCUGUAGCGGGUCUGAAGAGGAUGAUCCGCCACACUGGGACUGAGACACGGCCCAGACUCCUACGGGAGGCAGCAGUGGGGAAUAUUGGACAAUGGGGGGAACCCUGAUCCAGCCAUGCCGCGUGUGUGAAGAAGGCCUUUUGGUUGUAAAGCACUUUAAGCGAGGAGGAGGCUACCUAGAUUAAUACUUUAGGAUAGUGGACGUUACUCGC
rnacentral:rRNA from 1 species